rnacentral:rRNA from 1 species
UACGAAGGGUGCAAGCGUUACUCGGAAUUACUGGGCGUAAAGCGUGCGUAGGUGGUUAGUUAAGUCUGAUGUGAAAGCCCUGGGCCUCAACCUGGGAAUGGCAUUGGAAACUGGCUGACUAGAGUGCGGUAGAGGGAGUGGAAUUCCCGGUGUAGCAGUGGAAAUGACGUAGAUAUGGGAGGAACAUCUGUGGCGAAGGGCGAACUACCUGGGACCAGCACUGACACUGAGGCACCGAAAAGCGUGGGGAGCAAAACAGGGA